rnacentral:lncRNA from 1 species
AAAAACUAACUCAGACAACUCAAUAAAAAACGUAAAAAAAGAAAAAGAAAAGUAACUCAACCACCCAAGCAGGCGUUUCCUUAUCCCUGACUAUCUGAAAAAAAACUAAGUCCCUUCAGAUUCCUUUUUUGUUUCUUGGAAAAUAUCGAUCCAUCUGAAAGAAGAAAAAUAAUCUUCAAAUUGGCCCAAUAUUUGCUAUCUGGCCUUUGAUCCAAUCACAACACUGAUGCCAAAAUUGUGAAACAACAUGUGAGUCUCUUCUGUUUUCUAUUUUGCUUGCCCAAAGUGAGUAUAGUCGUCCAUCUCCAUUUCUAAUCAGUUAAAUUUCGAUCUGCAGGAAAAACCUAACCUAGCUAUCAAAAUCUUCGUCAACUGCCUCUUUUGGAAAAUGAAAAACCUUACCGAUCAAAUAAGAUUCUGCAUUUCUCUUUAACCCUUCUACAACCAGUAAAUGUGCUACACCAUUCACUUGUCUCUGCGCAUGUUUAAAGACAUACGCUUGGUAUCUUUCACAAAUAGCCUUGGCGUUUAAGAUGUGAGAACCUAUUACUCACAUUUAGAUUCCCUUUGUUUGUAGCCUCUGAAUCAUCUAUAAGGCGUCCCCUUCUAUCUCCACCAUAGUAAAUCCCACAUGCAACCCCAUCUCAACUGUUAUAAACAUGCCAAUGCCUUAGCCGCAAAUGGUAAAGUUAUGUUAUCAUGCAGUAAGUUUUUUAAAAAUAGCACUCUGCCAGUUGUAUCUUUGAUGAUAAUUUUAGAGCGUGAUUUAUUAUUUUGCUUACAAAAUGUAGCAUCAGAAUUUUUUUUAACAAAUUGGUCCUUUGGCACCUUCAAUCGUGCUUACAUACAUUGUGUUACUGUUAUUUUUCAUUGAUUCCAUCCAUUUCUCCCAAAUAAUUCCUGAUAAAAUUUGUCGCCUCAAAGGUCGUUCUAUGUUUGCAUUCAUGCAGUAGUUGGUUUUUCUCAACCCAUAUAGGCCUCAAAGUACAACAAAAGAUCUCACAAAGGUAUUUUGAAUUAUUUUCGAAAAGCUGAUUCACCCAAUCUUUAAUGUGCAUAUUUGAUAACAUUGUUGGCCACCUAAUGCCCAGUUGCUAGCAGAUCUCAUUUGAUUUUAGACAAUCCCGAAACACAUGUUCCACUAUUUUGAUUCCAUUCACAUAUCUAGGGCAUUCUUGUAUUCCCAUUAAUCUUUUGUAAUUUAGAUUAGCAAAAGUAGGUAAAUAAUUCGUUGUAAUUCUUUAUAUUGUAAUCUUUAACUUGGAGGGCAGAUCCGAUAGCCAUAACUUGGCCCCAUUUGUAGUUACCACAUUAUUUUCUUGUAACAACAAUUUGUACACACUACGCACUGAAUACUCCAUCGACGUCUAACCACUUCAAGCCAGGAAAUUCUCAUGUAGAAACUAUGUCAAAUGAAUACUCAAAAUUUUUCGGGCCUUCGCCUCGCCAAAGGUAUAUCGAAUAAUUCAUUCUCUCCAUUUCCUCGUGGUUGGAUCAAUCAAAUCAGCCACAGUUUAUAUACUUUGAUUGGUAAUAGGUUGUUGAAUUUUGUAAUUUGAAUUCCUAGGAAUCCAAACAUCAUCUCUAACCAAAAUUGUUGGCCUUUGAUGGUCACUAAACUAAUUAUAAAUACAACUAAGGCAAGUGCACCUAUCGAACAAUAGUAUAGUUAUGGUGAGUAGGGAAUAUCUUAUUCACGAGGACUAAAAGUACUAAUAAUUACCAUUUUUUCUAUUAUUUAGCCGAAAAAUUGGACUGGUUGCUUUUAAUCUAAAUUUACUAAUCUAAUUUAUCUAAUAAUGCAACAGAGAAUGAAAUAGGAAAAUAAUCAAAGAUAACCAAUGAGAUAGACAAUACCCAGGAAAGAAUCCACCUAGACUUCACCUAUUAUUAUGAAUCUGAAUUAAACGAUUUAUUCACUUGUGUCUUGAUCCGUAGAAAUCUCUAAAUUAUGUUAAUAUCUCUUUCGAAAGUAAGAAUAACUGACUCUAGGUUGAUUAAUUGAAAUCUCUUUCUAAUUAAAACCUCUAUUGUCGCAUUAACUCAAUCUAUGCAUUCCCCUAUUAGAUUUUACUCUAAUCUAGUAGAUUUAUGUCGUCCUAUUUCUAGGAUUGCAUGCAACUCUACUCAAUUAUGCUAGAUCUACUCUUAAACAGGGACUUUUGCUCCAUUGAAAUAAGCAUAUUAAACAUGAAUUAAUAUCUAAAAAUAUUAAAACACGAAAUAAGCAUACAUAAUUGAGAACAAGAAUCGAGUAUUUAUCGCAUAAAAACAGAAAUUAAAUAAUAAAAUUCAUCAUAAGUUUCAUCCUCCCUAGGUAUCUAGGGAAUUUAGUUCAUAAUCCUGAAUGAAAAAAUCUCAAAGUCAGAAUAACCACAAGACAUAAAGAAACUCAAUAAAACUUCGAAAGAAAUUAAAUGGAGAUCUUCGAUCUUGAGGGAGAUCUGCUUCCGAGUUGAUUUCGAUGGCGUUCUUCGAGUCUUUUCUUCGAUCUUCUCUGAGUGCCUCCUUAGAUUUUCUCCUAAUUGGUAUUUAUAGACUUUAGAAUGCUCAAAAAGCCUAAAAAUUGGGUUUUUUCGCUUAUUUGGGAAGCAAGGUGCAAUAUCGACACGAGCGUAUGGCUAGCCUGUGUGAAAAUGCCCAGGCCAUGUGGAUCUUGAAAAUAGCUCUAUUUGUUUGAUUUUGGCUCAUUUUUCGCUCAUUUCAUUCUCAAAGGCUCUCCUAAGUAUAGAAAGAUGAAUUUAAAGAAUUUGAAGCAUCAAAUUCAUUAAUUUACAUAAUUAAUCAUCCAAUAACACAUUAAGAAUUUGAUUAAAAUAUGUUACUUUUAUAGCUUAUCACCCCUGUACCAAUUCUCCAACACAUUCCAAACGCAAAAAGGCCCUUUAUGGCUUACACACUUUUCCAAGUAUAAUAAGGUAGAUUCCCUAAACUUGACUCUAGAGAGUUCAUAUUCAGAAAAUAUUUUGCCUUUAGUGAUCUCGCUAACAAAGAAUUCAGAUAAUUAAUCAUCCCAACCUUGUUUAGCAAGCAAAGCCAAAUUAAACUUCGCUAGGCAAUGGAAUCCCAUACCUUCAUACUUUUUUAAUUCAUAUAACUAUUUCCAAUUGCACCAAUGAAUUCCACAUUUGUUAUUACUUUUGUACCACUAAAAAUUACCAAUAAUAUUUUCUAACUCCACACAUAAAGAAUUUGGGAAUAGAAAGCAUAAAAUGGAAUACAUAGGAAUGACUUGAAUAGAAUACGUAGGAAUAACUUGAACAUAUUUAAUGAAAAUAUCCUUACCUCCUUGUGAGCGAUGCUGGAUACUUUUCAUUCUAUCUUUCAAUACUUGAAAAGCUUGUUGUUUUUCACCACUCACUAUAUUUGGCAACCUCAAAUAUUUUUCUAGUUCCAUGGACAUCCUAACAUUAAGGAUUUGUAAAAACCAGUUAUUUAUCCUAAUACUAAACAUUAGUGUUGAAGAAAGUCGUAGAUUUGUCAAAAUUAAUACACUGCCCCUAGUUUUCUUCAUACUCCUUUAGGAUGCCUUUUAUAAUACUAGCUCCUAUGCUAGUCACUUCCCCAAAUAAAAUAUAAUCAUCUGCAAACAUUAAGUGCGUUAUUUGUAGCCUCUUUUGACUAAUUCUUGCCCCUUUCACCAAUCCCUCAUGUUUAACAUGUCUCAUCAGUCUGAAAGACCCUUACUGCAAAAUAAAAAUAAGUUCGGACUCAAUGAUCUCCUUGUCUCAACCCCCUUUCGGGCUUAAAAUUUUCACUUAUUUCAUCAUUAAUAAUGAUAGAGUACGAUACUGAAUUAACACAUUGCAUUAUAAACUCCACCCAAGGUCUUGCUAAACCUAUUUUCAACAUCAUUUUCUCAAUAAAAGGUCAUUCCACUCGAUUGUAAGUCUUGCUCAUGUCUAAUUUCAAUGCCAAGCAACCAUUUCUCCCCAUCCAUUUUUUUUAAAAGUAUGUAACAAUUCAUAAGCUAGGAGCAUAUUAUCUAUAAUGAGUCUACCAUGCAAUAAAACACUUUUUGCUUCAUCGAUGCAAGACUCAAGAAUCUUUUGUAAUAUAUUUGCUGUUAUCUUUGCAAUAAUCUUAUACAGCACUAUACGAAAACUAAUUGGUCUGAAUUUUUCAAACUUGUGGGAUUGUCCACUUUUGGAAUUAAGGCAAUAUUCUUCUUAUUUAGUGUUUCCAACAUUUUACCCUCAUUCAGAAUGUCUAGACAAAAAGCACAAAUAUUUCCCCCAACUAUAUGCCAAUACCUUUGAAAAAAAUAAAGCGGGAAAGUCAUCUUCAACCAAAGCUUUUGUACGACCUAUUGUUUUCAAAACUUCACAUAUUUCCUCACCUUUGUAUUAGGCCAUCAAACCCCUUUUCAUACUAUCGAUAACAUAUACUUUGACUCCAAACAAUAAAUAAUCUAUAUUAUAAGUACCUUUAGUCGAGAAGAGAUCAAGAAGUGAUUUCACGCCACACUCUCUAUUUCAAAACGUAUUGUAAGUAGUUGACCCUCUUCAUUUUACAACCCAUUUAUCUUAUUUUUGCAAUGCCUAUAUGAAGUAAAAUUAUGGGAAAAUGAGGUGUUUCGAUCUCCUAUUUUCUACCAAUUUGCCCUAACUCUUUAUUUCCAAUAUCUCUUAUCUUUCUCUACCACCAGACUAAAAUGCAAUUUCACAUUGAUCAUUUCGGCUAACAUCUCAUCAGUUCUCUCUUGAUUAUCCAACUCCUACAGCCUUUUACCAAGUUUCUUAGUCAAUUCACCUCUUUUCGAUUUCACCCUUUCAGCCUUAUUCUUUAAUCUCGUACUUACCAUCCUUAAUUUGUCAGUUAAAUCUCCUAAACUAUUCUCCCAUAAGUUCUUCAUUUUGAGUUUGUAGGAAUAUUCCAUACUCCACCAUACCUCAAACCCAAACUAAUUUUUCCUCCCCUAAACUCCCUUGAUUAGUUUGAAUAAGUAGCAGACAGUAAUCAACAAAAGAAUGAGACAAGUGUUUUAGAGAAAAUUGGGAAACAAUUGCACCCAUUCUACCAUCGCAAUACCUCGAUCAAGUCAUUCUCUAAUAUUAGCCUCUAGUAGAUUUCCUUUUCAUGUGAAUCAAGAACGCAAAAAACCAAUAUCUUCUAAACAACAUUCUUCCAAAACUUUUCUAAAUUCUUCGAUUCGGCCUUCCUCCCUCGAAAUACCCCCACUUACAAGCCAAGGUAAAUUCUAGGAUCUUUCAAGAUUUUUUUAAUAAAUUUCAAGACUCUACUCUAUUUUUACUAUCAGGGGCUCCAUAAAAUCCCUUCCAUAUCUAAACUGGACUCCCUAACUCUCUUAAGUCUCGAAAUUAAUAUGGUUUUUUGAGAAACUAUAAAGAGUAAUUGAACAACCAACUUUCCAUCGUAAACUUAAACCCCCCAUGUUCCUUCUUCUGACAUAUUAAUUCUACACUAAUAACCGCAUGUCAUCCUUACAUUUUCCAUUAUUGUUGGUACUGAGUAUUGUCUCCAUAAAAAAGACAAGUUGGGGAUGAUAAGUCUUUAGCAUGUGUUGUAAUCGAUGAACUUUCUGCGGAUUCCCCAAAUCGCGAACGUUCCAAUUGAUCAUUUUCAUGGCGUCUGGCAGGCUUGCCUACAACAAUAUUUUCCACAUGAUUCAGUGAACCUGAAACUUAGGAAUUCAUGUUUUCAAGCCUAGGCCUCUUCUUUCUUUCCACUAUCUCUAAUGGGUUUUCUUCCUCAUGUUCCAUUGAUGCUAAGCCCAACCCAUUAGCCACUCAUUCGCUGUAAAACUCUUGUUGACAAAAUAGACCCUUCAAAUUAAAUCCUAAAAUAAGAUUUAUCUUUUGCCAAUUAUCUUUAUUCUUAUCCACCCCAAUAUUGCUCUUCAAAUUUCACCUUCCCAUAUUUUCCCCACCAAAUCCAUCAUCUCUUUCCUUUCGGAGUCAAAUACUACCGCCAACAGAUACCCUUUUCGACAGCGCACACAAAGAGAGAUCCCACCCCAGUUGCACCUCUUUUCCAUUAUGGUUGAGCCAAAUAGGACAAAAGCUAUCACCAUGGCCUAACACACCAUAAAUGAAACAAAAUAACGUUAAUUUCUCAUAUUUAAAAGUAGCAUACAUAUGCCUUGACGGUGAUAAAUUAAUUUAUUCUUCCUCUUUAGCAGAUUUUAGACAUCUAAUUACAUUCGAAUUAUAAAAAAAAUUCUCUAUUCCCCCACUCCCCUGCUACGUAUCAUAUUCAAUAAAUUUGCCAACAAAGUUCCCAAAUUGCCUUGCCACCACUUCUGAAAAUGAACCCGAUGGCAAAUCAUGCACUUGGACCCAGAAAUUCGCAAACACUAAAGGGAUCUGCAUCGGGUCCUCAUCUUCUUUCAACUAAUGAAUGAUUAACAAAUGAUUAUUAAAAGUCUAUGGGGCUCCAUUUUCCACUUGCGCAAUAUCCACCUCUUAGAAAAACUUGAAAAGAUAGCAUUUUUCCUCCGGAUAUGAAAUUUGUACCCCUCUAAGAGGAUGCUAAAAUUUGGCCAUUGUAUUCCUCAUGGUUAGGAAAUGUACCACACUGUCAGUCAAACAACAACCUACAAGACACAGAUCAUAGGUCGAUUUUUUAGUUUCUUCCUCACCAGCAACACUCCACCCAUCUUCUUCUCCAUCAACAAUACUCAAGUUCUUCAUACCCCCUGUCCAUUCGAUUUGAUCGAUAUCCAACUAGUAUACUCGACUCAAAGAAAACUAGAGAAACCCUCACAGCGAAACGCUAAAAAUGUAAUGACCCAAAUUUUACUGUUAUCAGAAAAGUGCAUUUUUGGGUCUCUGUUUCUAAAAAAUGGAAUAAAUAUUUACGAAGUUAAAUGAGUGGUUAAUUAAAUUUUAAUGAAGUGAAUUAGUUUAAAUUAAGGAUAAUUAGAUAAAAGGAUAAAAUUGAAUAUAGUGUAAAAGUUUAAUUAUAGAAUAAAGAAAAUUGAAGGGACUAAAUAAGUAAAUAAGCCAAAAUGAAUGCCAAGUGUGUGAUAAAAAUAAAAUACAUGUGUAAUAAAUAUUGUACAUAUAUUUGUAAUACAUGUAUGUAUUUACCUAUUAUUUAAGUAAAUACUAUUAUUGUAUAUUAAUUAAAUAAAGAAAAUAAAUAAAAUAAGGACAAGUGUGUGGUGAUGAUGAUAGAAAAAUGUAAAUUAUAUAUGUGUACAAAUGUAAAAUAAGUAUUUGUUAUUAAAUAGAUAUUUAUUAUAGAUAUUUAUUAUUGUUAUUAUUAUAUUAUAUUAUAUAUAUAUAUAAAGUAAAUAAAAGAAAGAAAAAGAAGGAAACAAAGAAAAAGAAACAGAAUAUGAGACUAAACAGGGGAAAGAAAGGAAAGAAAGAAAAAUAAAAGGAAAAUUGGGAUUUUGAAGCUUUAGCCUUUAAUAGGCAAGUCAAUCAAGCCCUUUUUACUUAAUUUUGAUGUUUUAGAAGCUUUGGAAUAAAGUUUUGAUGAAAUUAAGUUGAUAUUUUGAAAGUUAUUAGAUUUCUAGAUAUUGUUCAUGUUGAAUAAAUUGAAGAAUUAGGGGUUAAAUUGAUAGAAUUUCAAGUUAGAAGUUAAAUGUGAAGAAUAAAAGUUAGUCCCGGUUUAGGGACUAAAUUAGAAUUUAGACGAAAGUUGAAUAAAAAUUGAAAUAUUCAAUAUGAAAAUUGAAUGGUAAUGUAUUGAUAAUAUUUAGUUGAUUUUCGUAGCUAGCGUUGUGCCAGAAAAUCUCGGCUAGACAAGGAAAAGACAAAGUCGACGAUGGAUAGCUCGAAAAUUACAGUUUGUAUUUCUAUAAUCCGAACUUAAUACUUAAAUGUUGAAUUUAUUACUUGAUAAGUAUAGUAAGUAUUUAAAGGUAAAUAUUUGGAUAGGAAUAAAUAUUGAUUGGAAUUAAAGAGUGAAUUUUAUUAUUAAUUGUUAUAUUUUGAAUGAAUGUUAUGGUAAAUAAUUAAAAUGUGAAUUAUUGGUAUUGUGUUUAUUAUUGAAAUGAAUUAACUUGAAAAUGUGGUGAAAUAAUUAUGAAUAUGUGUUUAUUGUGGAAUUUGAUUAUAUGUUAAUGAAAAGUGAAUUGAAUUAUAUUGAAUUGUAUUGAUUUAUUAAAUUAUGUGAUUAAUUGAAAUAUAUACAUAUUGAUUGAAAACCGAAAAUUGGUUAAAUACCCUAUUAACAGUAUCGGGCUAUGUUUGAUAUAGUUGGCAUGCCAUAGGAUUGGAAGUGUU